rnacentral:rRNA from 1 species
AUUGAACGCUGGCGGCAUGCCUUACACAUGCAAGUCGAACGGCAGCACGGGGGCAACCCUGGUGGCGAGUGGCGAACGGGUGAGUAACAUAUCGGAACAUACCCUAGAGUGGGGGAUAACGUAGCGAAAGUUACGCUAAUACCGCAUACGAUCUAAGGAUGAAAGUGGGGGAUCUUCGGACCUCAUGCUCAUGGAGUGGCCGAUAUCUGAUUAGCUAGUUGGUGAGGUAAAGGCUCACCAAGGCGACGAUCAGUAGCUGGUUUGAGAGAACGACCAGCCACACUGGAACUGAGACACGGUCCAGACUCCUACGGGAGGCAGCAGUGGGGAAUUUUGGACAAUGGGGGCAACCC